rnacentral:rRNA from 1 species
GAAGGCCUUCGGGUUGUAAACUGCUUUUGUACGGAACGAAAAGGUUCUCUCUAAUAAAGAGGGCUCAUGACGGUACCGUAAGAAUAAGCACCGGCUAACUACGUGCCAGCAGCCGCGGUAAUACGUAGGGUGCAAGCGUUAAUCGGAAUUACUGGGCGUAAAGCGUGCGCAGGCGGUUUUGUAAGACAGGCGUGAAAUCCCCGGGCUCAACCUGGGAAUUGCGCUUGUGACUGCAAGGCUAGAGUACGGUAGAGGGGGGUAGAAUUCCGCGUGUAGCAGUGAAAUGCGUAGAUAUGCGGAGGAACACCGAUGGCGAAGGCAGCCCCCUGGACCUGUACUGACGCUCAUGCACGAAAGCGUGGGGAGCAAACAGGAUUAGAUACCCUGGUAGUCCACGCCCUAAACGAUGUCAACUGGUUGUUGGGAAUUUACUUUCUCAGUAACGAAGCUAACGCGUGAAGUUGACCGCCUGGGGAGUACGGCC